CUUGUCCCUGGAAGCCUUGCAGGUGUGGCUGCUGUGUCACACGUGCGUCAGUAAGUGACAGGGAGAAGAGAGGCUGUGUCUAUGUUCAGCAUUCUGAUCUAUGAACAUCUGAACCUAACAUCCUGCAAA